AACGAACGCUGGCGGCAGGCUUAACACAUGCAAGUCGAACGCCCCGCAAGGGGAGUGGCAGACGGGUGAGUAACGCGUGGGAAUCUACCCAGAACUACGGAACAACUGAGGGAAACUUCAGCUAAUACCGUAUACGCCCUACGGGGGAAAGAUUUAUCGGUUUUGGAUGAGCCCGCGUUAGAUUAGCUAGUUGGUGAGGUAAUGGCUCACCAAGGCGACGAUCUAUAGCUGGUCUGAGAGGAUGAUCAGCCACACUGGGACUGAGACACGGCCCAGACUCCUACGGGAGGCAGCAGUGGGGAAUAUUGGACAAUGGGCGCAAGCCUGAUCCAGCCAUGCCGCGUGAGUGAUGAAGGCCUUAGGGUUGUAAAGCUCUUUCAGUGGGGACGAUAAUGACGGUACCCACAGAAGAAGCCCCGGCUAACUUCGUGCCAGCCGCCGCGGUAAUAC
rnacentral:rRNA from 1 species